GACGGACGCUGGCGGCGUGCUUAACACAUGCAAGUCGAACGGAAAGGCCCUGCUUUUGUGGGGUGCUCGAGUGGCGAACGGGUGAGUAACACGUGAGUAACCUGCCCUUGACUUUGGGAUAACUUCAGGAAACUGGGGCUAAUACCGGAUAGGAGCUCCUGCUGCAUGGUGGGGGUUGGAAAGUUUCGGCGGUUGGGGAUGGACUCGCGGCUUAUCAGCUUGUUGGUGGGGUAGUGGCUUACCAAGGCUUUGACGGGUAGCCGGCCUGAGAGGGUGACCGGCCACAUUGGGACUGAGAUACGGCCCAGACUCCUACGGGAGGCAGUAGUGGGGAAUAUUGCACAAUGGGCGGAAGCCUGAUGCAGCAACGCCGCGUGCGGGAUGACGGCCUUCGGGUUGUAAACCGCUUUCGCCUGUGACGAAGCGUGAGUGACGGUAAUGGGUAAAGAAGCACCGGCUAACUACGUG
rnacentral:rRNA from 1 species